rnacentral:rRNA from 1 species
UACGUAGGGGGCAAGCGUUGUCCGGAAUCAUUGGGCGUAAAGCGCGUGUAGGCGGCUCUUCAAGUCAGGCGUGAAAGCCCCGGGCUCAACUCGGGAACUGCGCUUGAUACUGUCGAGCUAGAGUGUGGAAGGGGCGAUUGGAAUUCCGUGUGUAGCGGUGAAAUGCGUAGAUAUACGGAGGAACACCAGAGGCGAAGGCGGAUCGCUGGGCCAACACUGACGCUGAGACGCGAAAGCUAGGGUAGCAAACGGG